rnacentral:misc_RNA from 1 species
GAAUUGUCAUUAGGCCGUCUGACCUUGAUGUUGCAACUGUUCUUGGAAUGAGCUUUCCUUCCUACCGCGGCGGUCUCCUGUUUUGGGGAGAUUUGGUUGGGCCUAAACAUGUUUAUGCAAGUCUCAAGAAAUGGUCAGAACAAUAUGGUGAUUUCUUCAAGCCCUCUAAGUAUUUAGAAGAAAGAGUAGCCAGAGGCAUUCCUUUGAGCGAAGCCGAUUCAGAAAAUGCUGUGUCGAGAUCCCGACUCUAAGCAAAUAAGCUUCCUUUUCCCCAAUCGACCUGCAAUAGCUUCUCCCCUUUCUUAGACCUUGUAAUUGCCCAUUUGCAAAAGCAUCAAAAAUGGCUUUGAAAUGGUUUCCUUGCAUUGUUAUUGUGUUCCUCAAAUGUACUAUUAGGUUAUGGCCUUAUGGCUUCUAUUUCUCUUUUUAGUGGGUAAUUUAGUUAAAUGAGGAGGCUAAUAAUUAUUGUAAUUUGAAAAUUUACAUGCCAUGUUAUGGUAGCUUUGGA